CUAUAUACCGCCGUCGUCAGCUUACCCUGUGAAGGCUUAGCAGUAAGCAAAAUGGGCAAACCCAAAAACGUCAGGUCAAGGUGUAGCGUACGGAGUGGGAAGAAAUGGGCUACAUU
rnacentral:rRNA from 1 species